rnacentral:lncRNA from 13 species
AUGGUUGAGAUGCUGGAGUGGAGCACAGAGGAGCAACAGGGACAUGAGAUUUUCAUUACUGCAAUGCCUUCUACAGGCUUUCCCUCUGCCUCUGUACUUGCAGGAAGAAAAUCUCUUGGGGACAACCUAGUUACAGACAUUUUUGUUUCCAUUUGGACCAUCCUGCUUCCUGCUGAAAAUGAGCAACCGACUUCACUGGAACCUUUCUACAGAUUGCUCAGGUUCAUGAUUUUCAAGAAGAGAGAGGAUUUACAUAUGUGAAAUAACUAUCUGUGGGUCUGUAAGUUUACUACUGACAGCUUGGAUGCCUGCUGAGUUCUGAGCAGCAGAACCUGCCACCUGUGACACCCAGUGUAUUCUCUGAAGGUAUUCUCCUCACUGUUAAUGGUCUUCAAUAGAGAACCUCUCAAAACAAGAGCAGGCAAAACAGCACCCAUCAGAAAUCGUGUACGUUUGGUUCGAAAGCAGAAGCUCGGGAACAGAGGUUGGUUGAACAUUUUGUCUCUGACUUGACAGGGAUCAGCUGGAGGGCAUAUCAGAGAAGGCAGAGAUGAAUGAGAGAAGGAUUUCUAGAACAGCACAAGAAUUCCUACUCUACAAACUCUUUUUAGGGGAACAGCACUAGUUCUUCAAAGACAUGAAUGGCUCUGCUGCCAAGGGUUUCAGAAUAUUAAUUAGCCAGUCUUUGCCAAGUGUUUGAAAACAGAACCAUGGAAUAGUUUGGGCUGGAAAAGACCUUUAAAGGUCA